rnacentral:rRNA from 1 species
GGCUCCUUGUAAAGCUGCAAAUAAGGAGUCGGACCUGCCCAGUGAAUUAUUUCAACGGCCGCGGUACUUUGACCGUGCAAAGGUAGCAUAAUCAUUUGCCUUAUAAUUGAAGGCUUGUAUGAAUGGUUUGACAAGAAUAUAACUGUCUCUUUAUAAUUAAAUAAAAUUUUAUUUACAGGUGAAAAAGCCUGUAUUUUAUUGAAAGACAAGAAGACCCUAUCGAGCUUUAAAAAAAUUAAUAAACCACAACCUUUAUACUUUGUAGAAAAUUAGUUAUUAAAAAUUUUGGUUGGGGCGACUAAGGAACAAACAAAGCUUCCUUUAUUUCUUAAGACAAUCAAGUAAGGACCCAAAAACUUUGAUUAGAGAAUUUAGUUACCGUAGGGAUAACAGCAUUAUCUUUUUUAAGAGCUCUAAUCGAAAAAAAGGUUUGUGACCUCGAUGUUGGACCAGAAUAUCCUGAAGAUGUAGCCGUCUUCAAGGGUUGGUCUGUUCGACCAUUAAAAUUCUACGUGAUCUGAGUUCAGACCGGCGUAAGCCAGGUCAGUUUCUAUCUUCAAUUUGUAGAAUAAAUUUAGUACGAAAGGACCAGUUUAUUGCAAAAAAUUGUUCCAUCUGAUGGCGUAUAAAAGACAUUAAAUAUAUAAGAUAAUCAAAUUAGCAAAAAUUAAUGCAAUUGAUUUAGGAUCAAUAGACAUAGGUGAAAUUCCUUUAUUUGAUAUUUUUAAAUAAAUAAAGAUGGCAGACAAA